GUGAGUCAUCGAAUCUUUGAACGCACAUAGCGCCCGCCAGUACUCUGGCGGGCAUGCCCGUCCGAGCGUCGAUCGCACCGCUCGAGCCCCAUCAUGGCUCGGUGUUGGGACGCUAGGGGCUUCGGCCCCUAGGUCCCCAAAGGUAUCGCGCGGCCCCAGGCACAGGACCCGAGCACAGUAAACACUCUGUUGGCUGCUCUGGGACGCUGGCCCGAGGCGCCUGCCGUAAAACCCCCGACAUAGGCCCCUAGGGCCGACUGAUGUUGACCUCGGAUCGGGUAGGACGACCCGCUGAACUUAAGCAUAUCAAUAAGCGGAGGA
rnacentral:misc_RNA from 1 species